CCUACGGGUGUCAGCAGUGAGGAAUAUUGGUCAAUGGGCGCGAGCCUGAACCAGCCAAGUAGCGUGAAGGAUGACUGCCCUACGGGUUGUAAACUUCUGUUAUAAAGGAAGAAAGUGAGGCACGUGUGCCUUUUUGUAUGUACUUUAUGAAUAAGGAUCGGCUAACUCCGUUCCAGCAGCCGCGGUAAUACGGAGGAUCCGAGCGUUAUCCGGAGUUAUUGGGUUUAAAGGGAGCGUAGAUGGGUUGUUCAGUCAGUUGUGAAAGUUUGCGGCUCAACCGUAAAAUUGCAAUUGAUACUUGCAGUCUUGAGUACAGUUGAGGUAGGCGGAAUUCGUGUUGUAGCGGUGAAAUGCUUAGAUAUCAC
rnacentral:rRNA from 1 species